CUGGACGUAUCACAAGUGCGAAUGCUGACAUAAGUAACGAUAAAACGAGUGAAAAACUCGUUCGCCGGAAGACCAAGGGUUCCUGUCCAACGUUAAUCGGGGCAGGGUGAGUCGGCCCCUAAGGCGAGGCUGAAAAGCGUAGUCGAUGGGAAACGGGUUAAUAUUCCCGUACUUGGUAAAGCUGCGAUGUGGGGACGGAGAAGGUUAGGUAAGCGGACUGUUGGAUAUGUUCGUUUAAGCAGGUAGUUGGAAAGGGUAGGCAAAUCCGCUCUUUCAUACAACAACGAGACGUGAUGACGAGGCUCUACGGAGCUGAAGUUACCGAUACCCAGCUUCCAGGAAAAGCCACUAAGCGAAAGGCUUUACUAAACCGUACUGAAAACCGACACAGGUGGUCAGGUAGAGAAUACUCAGGCGCUUGAGAGAACUCGGGUGAAGGAACUAGGCAAAAUAGCACCGUAACUUCGGGAGAAGGUGCGCUUACAGUAAUUGUAGUCCCUUGCGGAUGAAGGUGAAGUAAGUCGAAGAUACCAGCUGGCUGCAACUGUUUAUUAAAAACACAGCACUCUGCAAACACGAAAGUGGACGUAUAGGGUGUGAUGCCUGCCCGGUGCUGGAAGGUUAAUUGAUGGUGUUAUCGAAAGAGAAGCUCCUGAUCGAAGCCCCAGUAAACGGCGGCCGUAACUAUAACGGUCCUAAGGUAGCGAAAUUCCUUGUCGGGUAAGUUCCGACCUGCACGAAUGGCAUAAUGAUGGCCAGGCUGUCUCCACCCGAGACUCAGUGAAAUUGAAAUCGCCGUGAAGAUGCGGUGUACCCGCGGCUAGACGGAAAGACCCCGUGAACCUUUACUAUAGCUUGACACUGAACAUUGAAUUUUGAUGUGUAGGAUAGGUGGGAGCCUUUGAAGCAGUGACGCCAGUCAUUGUGGAGGCGACCUUGAAAUACCACCCUUUAACGUUUGAUGUUCUAACGAAGUGCCUGAAACGGGUACUCGGACAGUGUCUGGUGGGUAGUUUGACUGGGGCGGUCUCCUCCCAAAGCGUAACGGAGGAGCACGAAGGUUUGCUAAUGACGGUCGGACAUCGUCAGGUUAGUGCAAUGGUAUAAGCAAGCUUAACUGCGAGACAGACAAGUCGAGCAGGUGCGAAAGCAGGUCAUAGUGAUCCGGUGGUUCUGAAUGGAAGGGCCAUCGCUCAACGGAUAAAAGGUACUCCGGGGAUAACAGGCUGAUACCGCCCAAGAGUUCAUAUCGACGGCGGUGUUUGGCACCUCGAUGUCGGCUCAUCACAUCCUGGGGCUGAAGUAGGUCCCAAGGGUAUGGCUGUUCGCCAUUUAAAGUGGUACGCGAGCUGGGUUUAGAACGUCGUGAGACAGUUCGGUCCCUAUCUGCCGUGGGCGUUGGAUGAUUGAUUGGGGCUGCUCCUAGUACGAGAGGACCGGAGUGGACGCAUCACUGGUGUUCCAGUUGUCUCGCCAGAGGCAUUGCUGGGUAGCUAAAUGCGGAAGAGAUAAGUGCUGAAAGCAUCUAAGCACGAAACUUGCCAAGAGAUGAGUCAUCCCUGACUUUAAG
rnacentral:rRNA from 1 species